UGAUGGUGCUUGCACCUGAUUGACGAUGGAUCACCAGUGAGUGGCGGACGGGUGAGUAACACGUAGGUAACCUGCCCCGGAGCGGGGGAUAACAUUUGGAAACAGAUGCUAAUACCGCAUAACAACAAAAGCCACAUGGCUUUUGUUUGAAAGAUGGCUUUGGCUAUCACUCUGGGAUGGACCUGCGGUGCAUUAGCUAGUUGGUAAGGUAACGGCUUACCAAGGCGAUGAUGCAUAGCCGAGUUGAGAGACUGAUCGGCCACAAUGGAACUGAGACACGGUCCAUACUCCUACGGGAGGCAGCAGUAGGGAAUCUUCCACAAUGGGCGCAAGCCUGAUGGAGCAACACCGCGUGAGUGAAGAAGGGUUUCGGCUCGUAAAGCUCUGUUGUUGGAGAAGAACGUGCGUGAGAGUAACUGUUCACGCAGUGACGGUAUCCAACCAGAAAGUCACGGCUAACUACGUGCCAGCAGCCGCGGUAAUACGUAGGUGGCAAGCGUUAUCCGGAUUUAUUGGGCGUAAAGCGAGCGCAGGCGGUUGCUUAGGUCUGAUGUGAAAGCCUUCGGCUUAACCGAAGAAGUGCAUCGGAAACCGGGCGACUUGAGUGCAGAAGAGGACAGUGGAACUCCAUGUGUAGCGGUGGAAUGCGUAGAUAUAUGGAAGAACACCAGUGGCGAAGGCGGCUGUCUGGUCUGCAACUGACGCUGAGGCUCGAAAGCAUGGGUAGCGAACAGGAUUAGAUACCCUGGUAGUCCAUGCCGUAAACGAUGAGUGCUAGGUGUUGGAGGGUUUCCGCCCUUCAGUGCCGGAGCUAACGCAUUAAGCACUCCGCCUGGGGAGUACGACCGCAAGGUUGAAACUCAAAGGAAUUGACGGGGGCCCGCACAAGCGGUGGAGCAUGUGGUUUAAUUCGAAGCUACGCGAAGAACCUUACCAGGUCUUGACAUCUUGCGCUAACCUUAGAGAUAAGGCGUUCCCUUCGGGGACGCAAUGACAGGUGGUGCAUGGUCGUCGUCAGCUCGUGUCGUGAGAUGUUGGGUUAAGUCCCGCAACGAGCGCAACCCUUGUUACUAGUUGCCAGCAUUAAGUUGGGCACUCUAGUGAGACUGCCGGUGACAAACCGGAGGAAGGUGGGGACGACGUCAGAUCAUCAUGCCCCUUAUGACCUGGGCUACACACGUGCUACAAUGGACGGUACAACGAGUCGCAAGCUCGCGAGAGUAAGCUAAUCUCUUAAAGCCGUUCUCAGUUCGGACUGUAGGCUGCAACUCGCCUACACGAAGUCGGAAUCGCUAGUAAUCGCGGAUCAGCAUGCCGCGGUGAAUACGUUCCCGGGCCUUGUACACACCGCCCGUCACACCAUGGGAGUUUGUAACGCCCAAAGUC
rnacentral:rRNA from 2 species